rnacentral:sRNA from 1 species
AAUUAGCCCCGACAUAAGCGGAAAUACUUUUUGUUGUAUUUCCGGUUGAAUGGUAGAUACCGGCAACAAAAAGAUUGCAGCAUUGGCGGGACUACCA